rnacentral:rRNA from 1 species
UACGAAGGGUGCAAGCGUUACUCGGAAUUACUGGGCGUAAAGGGUGCGUAGGUGGUUGUUUAAGUCUGUUGUGAAAGCCCCGGGCUCAACCUGGGAAUGGCAAUGGAUACUGGACAGCUAGAGUGCGGUAGAGGGUAGUGGAAUUCCCGGUGUAGCAGUGAAAUGCGUAGAGAUCGGGAGGAACACCAGUGGCGAAGGCGGCUGCCUGGACCAGCACUGACACUGAAGCACGAAAGCGUGGGGAGCAAACAGG